rnacentral:ncRNA from 1 species
CUUAUCAAGAGUGGCUGAGGGAACAGGCCCGAUGAAGCCCGACAACCUGCAUGUAUGUGCAAGGUGCCAAUUCCUGCGGGAAACCGAAAGAUAAG